rnacentral:rRNA from 1 species
ACGGAGGAUCCGAGCGUUAUCCGGAUUUAUUGGGUUUAAAGGGUGCGUAGGCGGAAAAAUAAGUCAGUUGUGAAAUUUUGCGGCUCAACCUUAAAAUUGCAGUUGAUACUGUUUUUCUUGAGUGUACAUAAGGUAGGUGGAAUUCGUGGUGUAGCGGUGAAAUGCUUAGAUAUCUCGAAGAACACCAAUGGUGAAGGCAGCUUACCGGGCUACAACUGACGCUGAGGCACGAAAGUGUGGGUAUCAAACAG